GGAAUUCGAUUAAGACAUGCGAGUCGAGAGUCGUAAUGGACUCGGCGGACUGCUCAGUAACACGUGGAUAACAUGCCCUUAAGUGGAGAGAUAAUCUCGGGAAAUUGAGAGAUAAUACUCCAUAGAUCAUGAAAUCUGGAAUGAUUCAUGGUUCAAAGUUCCGGCGCUUAAGAGAUUGGUCUGCGGCCUAUCAGGUAGUAGUGGGUGUAACGUACCUACUAGCCUAUGACGGGUAUGGGCCUUGAGAGAGGGAGCCCAGAGUUGGAUUCUGAGACACGAAUCCAGGCCCUACGGGGCGCAGCAGUCGCGAAAACUUCACACUGGGGGCAACCCCGAUGAGGGAAUUCCUAGUGCUAGCGCUUUUUGUGCUAGCUUUUCUUCAGUAUAGAUAGCUGGAGGAAUAAGGGCUGGGUAAGACGGGUGCCAGCCGCCGCGGUAAUACCUGCAGCCCAAGUGGUGGUCGAUUUUAUUGAGUCUAAAACGUUCGUAGCCGGUUUGAUAAAUCCUUGGGUAAAUCGGGCAGCUUAACUGUCCGACUUCCGAGGAGACUGGAAGACUUGGGACCGGGAGAGGUCAGAGGUACUUCUGGGGUAGGGGUAAAAUCCUGUAAUCCUGGGAGGACCACCGGUGGCGAAGGCGUCUGACUAGAACGGAUCCGACGGUGAGGGACGAAGCCCUGGGGCGCAAACGGGAUUAGAUACCCCGGUAGUCCAGGGUGUAAACGCUGCGGGCUUGGUGUUGGGGGUCCUUUGUGGGCGCCAGUGCCGGAGAGAAGUUGUUAAGCCUGCUGCUUGGGGAGUAU
rnacentral:rRNA from 1 species